GACGAGGUGGCCGAGAGGUUAAGGCGAUGGACUGCUAAUCCAUUGUGCUCUGGAUUCGAAUCCCAUCCUCGUCG
rnacentral:tRNA from 1 species